GUUAUAUGGUCAAGCGAAUAAGCGCACACGGUGGAUGCCUUGGCGGUCAGAGGCGAUGAAGGACGUGGCAGCCUGCGAAAAGUAUCGGGGAGCUGGCAACAAGCUUUGAUCCGGUAAUGUCCGAAUGGGGAAACCCACCCGCUUGCGGGUAUCCUGCAGUGAAUACAUAGCUGCUGGAAGCGAACCUGGUGAACUGAAAUAUCUAAGUAACCAGAGGAAAAGAAAUCAACCGAGAUUCCGUAAGUAGCGACGAGCGAACGCGGACUAGCCCUUAAGCUGGAUUGGUUCUAGGAAAACGCUCUGGAAAGAGCGGCCAUAGAAGGUGAUAGCCCUGUAUCUGAAAGGGCCAUUCCAGUGAAGACGAGUAGGGCGGGGCACGUGAAACCCUGUCUGAACAUGGGGGACCAUCCUCCAAGGCUAAAUACUACUGACCGACCGAUAGUGAACCAGUACCGUGAGGGAAAGGCGAAAAGAACCCCGGAGAGGGGAGUGAAAUAGAACCUGAAACCGUGUGCGUACAAGCAGUAGGAGCUCCGCAAGGAGUGACUGCGUACCUUUUGUAUAAUGGGUCAGCGACUUACUGUUCGUGGCAAGCUUAACCGUAUAGGGGAGGCGAAGGGAAACCGAGUCUGAUAAGGGCGCAUAGUCGCGGGCAGUAGACCCGAAACCGGGUGAUCUAGUCAUGCCCAGGGUGAAGGUGCGGUAACACGCACUGGAGGCCCGAACCCACUCCCGUUGCAAAGGUAGGGGAUGAGGUGUGAUUAGGAGUGAAAAGCUAAUCGAACCCGGAGAUAGCUGGUUCUCCUCGAAAGCUAUUUAGGUAGCGCCUCAUAUGUAUCCUCUCGGGGGUAGAGCACUGUUAUGGCUAGGGGGUCAUCGCGACUUACCAAACCAUUGCAAACUCCGAAUACCGAGACGGACUGUAUGGGAGACACACGGCGGGUGCUAACGUCCGUCGUGAAAAGGGAAACAACCCAGACCCACAGCUAAGGUCCCAAAUUCACUGCUAAGUGGAAAACCAUGUGGAAAGGCACAGACAGCCAGGAGGUUGGCUUAGAAGCAGCCACCCUUUAAAGAAAGCGUAAUAGCUCACUGGUCGAGUCGGUCUGCGGGGAAGAUUUAACGGGGCUAAGCAGUGAACCGAAGCUUGGGGUGCAUACUUUGUAUGCGCGGUAGAGGAGCGUUCCGUAAGCCGUUGAAGGUGGAUUGAGAAGUCUGCUGGAGGUAUCGGAAGUGCGAAUGCUGACAUGAGUAACGAUAAUGCGGGUGAAAAACCCGCACGCCGAAAGCCCAAGGUUUCCUUGCGCAACGUUAAUCGGCGCAGGGUGAGUCGGCCCCUAAGGCGAGGACGAAAGUCGUAGUCGAUGGGAAGCAGGUUAAUAUUCCUGCACCUCGCGUAAGUGCGAUGGAGGGACGGAGAAGGUUAGGUGUACCAGGCGUUGGUUGUCCUGGGGAAAGGCGGUAGGUUUGGAUCUUUGGCAAAUCCGGGAUCCUUUAAGACCGAGCACCGAGACGAGCCUUUAUGGCGAAGUCACUGAUACCACGCUUCCAGGAAAAGCUCCUAAGCUUCAGCUUACGCAGACCGUACCGUAAACCGACACAGGUGGGUAGGAUGAGAAUUCUCAGGCGCUUGAGAGAACUCGGGUGAAGGAACUAGGCAACAUGGCACCGUAACUUCGGGAGAAGGUGCACCCUUUUUGGUGGCUCGUGCGAGCUAUAGCUGAAGAGGGUCGCAGUAACCAGGCCGCUGCGACUGUUUAUCAAAAACACAGCACUCUGCAAACACGAAAGUGGACGUAUAGGGUGUGACGCCUGCCCGGUGCUGGAAGGUUAAUUGAUGGGGUCAGCCGCAAGGCGAAGCUCUUGAUCGAAGCCCCAGUAAACGGCGGCCGUAACUAUAACGGUCCUAAGGUAGCGAAAUUCCUUGUCGGGUAAGUUCCGACCUGCACGAAUGGCGUAACGACAGCGGCGCUGUCUCCACCCGAGACUCAGUGAAAUUGAAAUCGCUGUGAAGAUGCAGCGUUCCCGUGGCAAGACGGAAAGACCCCGUGAACCUUUACUAUAGCUUUACACUGAACGUUGAGUUCGUCUGUGUAGGAUAGGUGGGAGGCUAUGAAACUGUGGCGCUAGCUGCAGUGGAGCCAUCCUUGAAAUACCACCCUGUCGUGCUUGACGUUCUAACCUGGGCCCAUUAUCUGGGUCGGGGACCGUGUAUGGUGGGUAGUUUGACUGGGGCGGUCUCCUCCUAAAGAGUAACGGAGGAGCUCGAAGGUACGCUCAGCGCGGUCGGACAUCGCGCACUGUGUGCAAAGGCAUAAGCGUGCUUGACUGCAAGAUCGACGGAUCAAGCAGGUAGGAAACUAGGACUUAGUGAUCCGGUGGUUCUGUAUGGAAGGGCCAUCGCUCAACGGAUAAAAGGUACUCCGGGGAUAACAGGCUGAUACCGCCCAAGAGUUCAUAUCGACGGCGGUGUUUGGCACCUCGAUGUCGGCUCAUCACAUCCUGGGGCUGUAGUCGGUCCCAAGGGUAUGGCUGUUCGCCAUUUAAAGUGGUACGCGAGCUGGGUUCAGAACGUCGUGAGACAGUUCGGUCCCUAUCUGCCAUGGGCGUUGGAGAUUUGAGAGGGGCUGCUCCUAGUACGAGAGGACCGGAGUGGACGAACCUCUGGUGUUCCGGUUGUCACGCCAGUGGCAUUGCCGGGUAGCUAUGUUCGGAAGCGAUAACCGCUGAAAGCAUCUAAGCGGGAAGCGCGCCUCAAGAUGAGAUCUCCCGGGGCACAAGCCCCCUGAAGGAACCAUGUAGACUACGUGGUUGAUAGGUCAGGUGUGUAAGUACAGCAAUGUAUUGAGCUAACUGAUACUAAUGAUCCGUGCGGCUUGACCAUAUAACCU
rnacentral:rRNA from 1 species